rnacentral:rRNA from 1 species
UACGGAGGUCCCAAGCGUUGUUCGGAUUCAUUGGGCGUAAAGGGUGCGUAGGCGGCGCGGUAAGUCGGGUGUGAAAUCUCGGAGCUUAACUCCGAAACUGCAUUCGAUACUGCCGUGCUUGAGGACUGGAGAGGAGACUGGAAUUUACGGUGUAGCGGUGAAAUGCGUAGAUAUCGUAAGGAAGACCAGUGGCGAAGGCGGGUCUCUGGACAGUUCCUGACGCUGAGGCACGAAGGUCAGGGGAGCAAACGGG